AAAUUCCAUUUCCGUGCACCUCCUCAAAACAGUGCGCGAAACAAAACAGAACAAGAAAAACAGUUUGAUUUCUACCGCGAAACCUGUUGCGAACACGCGAAUAUCGAACUCCCGUCUUUUCAAUAAUCUGCAUUAAAGUUUUGUUUAUCUUAGGAAUUUUGCAGCGACAAAAUCCGAUAAAAAAUGGACGGAAUAGACCUCUACAAUAAGGCUUACCUUGAAUCCCUGGCUAUCAACCAACGGGAAACAGAAAGAUGGAAAAGCUACCGAGCGGAACAUGAAGAGCUCAAAGAAAAUCUCAAAAUGUACAGCAAACAGCUGAAAGCUGAUAUUUUAAUCCCGGUUGGGUCGAAAGCUUUCAUACCUGGCCAAUUGUAUCACACGGGCGAAGUGAUGGUCAGUCACGGUUCAGGUUACUUCUCCGAUUGUUCGAUGGAGCAAGCCAACCAAAUUAUUGCUCAUCGAAUUUUCGCUGCAAAUGAUGUUUUGCAGAAAUACGAGAAGGAAAGAGAUUUUUUCAUAAACAAAGUUGAAGUUCCAUUUGCAGAGGAUGCUUUCAGUGGUAAAGAAAUAAUAGAAGAAUACGACCAAACACGGGAGGAAGUAUGGAAUCGGGAACAUCGGAUACGUUCCAAGGAAUCAAAGUUACGCGAAGCUAAAGAUCGGGAUGAGAAUAAUGCAUUUGAGUCCGAUCAAGCAAUAAUGGAUCGUUUGGAAGAAUUGGAAUUGAUGGAGGAAUUGGAACAGGAAAUUGAUAAUUUAGAUAUUUCGGUUGAAACAGAUGAACAAUUGCGUAGAUUGAUGAACGGAGAGUUGAAGUUACCCACGAGUCGAAGAAUUGCUCAUGGAUCAGGAAAUAAAGCUGUGGAAAACGUGAUAACCGAUAUGUCGAAGAAAAUCUUUGAAGAAAUGGACACCGAGCCGAUUGAAGUCGAAACCACUGACGACGAAAGUACUGAUGAGUCAGAUGCCGAAGAUGCUUCAAUCGAGUUUAUGAAACUGUUACAAGAUACAAAAGCUAUGAACAAAAGAGAUAAACUUCAAGCAUUUAAGAAUAAACUCAAUGACAUUAGCUCAAGACUGAAGAAGGAAGACAUCAGUGUGGAAGAAAAAGUGCUUCUAUGUGACUUGCGGUACGAAGUGGAAGAAGCUCUCGACUUCCUGGAUCCUUCGUGGGAAAGUGCAAUUGUGAAUGCAGAAGAUAAAAAAACUUCCAAAAAAGCCAAAUCAAUUCAGUUUGCAGCUACUCAUAGUGUGAAAUUCAUAGAUGAUCACGAAGAAAUUGCAAAAGAGAGUAUCACUAGUGAAGAUUAUUCCUGCAAAACUUUGGAAUUGAAAAUUGUUCAUUCGCCGGUAGUUUCCCCAGUGAUUAGUGAUGACGAUUCCAUGAGAAGUCCGGUAGAUAUUUACCGUUUGUUCGAACAUUGUAUGAUCAGAACCGAACCUGUUUCUCCUCCUAUGAAAGGGAAAAAAUCGAUUCUUAAAAACCGGGAUAUGGUUUUGGCGGAAACUCAUCUUAUCGACUGUCAUCCUGUUGUCAAGAAACCUCGUGAUAAGACAGAGGUUUUACCAGUGGAUAUAAUUGGUGACGUAGUGGAACAUAAAACCGAAAAUUUCUCACAAUCCACGGCACCAGUGCCGGCAAAUGUGAGUCAGAAGAAAAUUAGUAGGUUUAGACAACAAAGGCAGUGAAAUUGUUCAUAAGUAUAAAGGUGAAGAUUUACGAGGUUUUGAAGUGGUCAUUUCUGAAUUAGGUGAUUAUCAAACGAGAAGAGCCUCGUCGAAUUUAACAAAAAGCUCAUGGAGGACGUCCACCAAAGAUUUGACCGGUAACUGUGUGGUAAUGUACGUGUAGUUGACCACGUCUGCGUAGAGGAUUGUAACAUUUGUGUGUUUUUGUACGUAGAGCUUGC